AACCAGGAAGCCGGUGCGAGUCCGGCACGGUCCCGCCACUGUGAUCGGGGAGCCGAACCCCCCGCGCGCCACGGUGCCCCGCACCGGAAGGCCGGGUGAGGCGUUGAUCCGCGAGUCAGGAGACUG
rnacentral:ncRNA from 20 species